UGAAAAUUCAUCAUCCAACGAUGAUGCUCUUACCAUAACUCGAUUCUGUACUCAAUAUGAAUAAAUUCGGAUACAGAUUAUGAGUCGUCGUUAGAACAGUGGGAGAUACGACAAAGUCCCAAUACCAAUGAACUCCGAUUUGAAUGAGUAAUCGCCGCAUACAGACACGUACCCAAGUAACCCACCAAGGAAAGGAAAACCUUUGAUCAUCAAUGGCCAUAAUACACGUGUUCGGAUACGAUGAUCUCAUCAUUGGUCCAAAAUGCUGACCGAUCCAUUUCGUCUGACCUACCGGAGUCCAUCCGAGGGCGUUUAUUUUAUUUAUAGGUGAGAUACCGCUCGAUGGUUCGUUUCCAGUUGUAACGCACCAGAAUUUCAGAUCUUGCUUUAUGUAUUCGUCGAAAAAUCUAUUUUAACGUAAUUUUAAUUCUAGAAUCAUCGAACAAUAUGUAUCAGAAUUCGAAUGUGAACAGAAAUAACUCACUUUACAUGGUAGUUAGCGUAAGCUCUGUAAUAUUCUUCUUUCAAAGUACCAAACCCUGUCAACUGGCGAUUAGUUUUCAUCCAAGCUGGAGGAGACCAACAGGAAGCGAUCAGUUUCAGAGAUCUGUUCGUUAUAGUUUCGGCUUGUUUGAUCAACGGAAUCUACGCAGAAUAAUUUUCACUUUAGUUCGAAUCAGUCAAAUCAUGAAACUACACAAUUCUAUUUUUUCAAAGAAGUAGGUAUACCCACGAAGUGAAAAAUCAGUACCACCGAUAGGAACUCUACCCAUUGUAUACUCAUUUCCAUCAGACGAAAAGUACGAUCUGCGAAGAAACACUUCAAAAAUAAACUCUCUGAAACACUCCAGCUGCGGUAAUCACCAUAAUAUAGGUUUACUUGAGUAAUAAAUCCUGCGCAGCUGGAGACAACGAUAGAAUAUUAUAACCCGAUGAAUCGGUGAAAGCAGCUCCAAAUCCGAUAAAUUCUUGAUACGUUUGAUUCCUAUUCACUCGUAAAGUGGCUCCUGAAAAAGAAACGAUGUUUUAAAGAGACAAUUCUACGUCAAUUAGCGAGUAACUUCGUCGAUUAAAUCUCUACGACUAGAUCUUACUCGUAGCUGUGAUUUUCGAUUUAAAAGUGCCCAACGAUUUCUCGAAUCGUAGUCCAUCUCGAGAUGAAGUAUACAAGAUGAAAUUUCCAGGCAGAGGAGCUCGUACUUUCGGAGUGACAUCGCAAUAUGUCGAAUUACAGACACAGACCGUGCUAUCGAACGAGUAUUUCCUUGGGAUGCAGUUUUGAGCUUCGACUUCGUUGUAUAAAAAAUUUACCAGGACGAGCAAAUGCAGUAAACAAAUUUUCCAUCUUGUUAUCUGAAAACAGACGAGUACAUAAAUUGAAAUUAUUACCUUACGAUAAGAUUUUUUACGAUUCGAUGAAAAUAUAAUGUGGUUCUUUACGGUCCAUUAACGAGUA